UUUCGCCUGCCCCUUAGGGUGCCGAAUUUACGCCUCGUGCUACCAAGAAUGUCUUCGGGUUGUUGACCGCUGUCGGGAGUUAAGAACUGCAAGGAUGUUAAUAGCAUCUUUGUUUGACUAAGGCUCCGGAGGAAGCCAAUAUCUAACUCUGUGCCCGCUCCCGCGGAAAUACCAAUGCCGCCUCCGUUGUUCGGAAUUAUUGGGCGUAAAGAGCACGUAUGCGGUUGUGUAAGUGGGUUGUGAAACCCUUCCGCUUAACGGAUAAACGGUCUCCAAUACUGCAUAUUUCGAGUGCGGGAGGGGAGAGCGGAACUUCUGGUGGAGCGGGGAAAUGCGUAGAUAUGACAUCGAACACCGGCGGAGAAAGCCACUCUCUGGCCCGUAACUGAUGCUGAUCGUGCGAAAGCUAGGGGAGCUAACGGGAUUAGGUACUCCGGUAGUCCUAGCCGUCAAUUAUGGGCACUUUCUAGAGGGGUUUU
rnacentral:rRNA from 1 species